AAUUUGGGAUUUUUUGGAACACGUGCAGGUACCAGUAGUGCGUUUCAGUUCCCCGGAAAAAAUUCAGAGAAAAUUAGGGACAGCCUGUAGGCGCACUGUGAAGCCGUGUAAGGACCCCUCACCCUAUUUCCUAUCACGGUAUUAAAGUUCAAUAAUGAUAAAACGGAAAUUCUUGAAUCAACGAAUGUGUGAAAUUGCUUAAGGUCACCAAUGGAACCCGAGUCUAGUGUGUUGGUCGGUUAACUGUUAUUUGGCAUAUUUUACAGUUUUAAAUGCAGUAUGAGGUCUGAUGUUUUCAUUUUAUUGUUUCGCGUGCAUAUUUUACUGUUUUAUUGAUUAUGGGU
rnacentral:lncRNA from 1 species